AUUAAGCUACAAUAUUAAUCGUUAUAAAUUGAAAAAAAACUAAUAUCAAAUAAAUUAUUUGUAAUUGUGUUAAAAAACAAGUAUUGAAUAAUUAAAAAAACAAGUUACUGAAAAAUCGAUAAACAAAAGCAGUUUUCUACCGGAAAUGAAGGAAGGAAUGAAAGAGGCGAUAGAGAGGAGAGCACGGAAAAUGUUUUACGGAAAUUGAAAGAGUAAGACAUUUUCCCUAAAAUGUAACCCAUUUUCCCUUAUUUUGGAGUUCAUUUUCCAAAUGGAAAAUAUUUUCCACCAAUCAAACGCUGGAAAAGUUGGAAAUAAUUUUCCGGAAAAUCAAUUCCAUCAAUCAAACAGACCCUAAAGUUUACCCAAUUACCCAAUCCAAUAAAAUUAAAACUAAAAGACAACUCAAUUUACUAAAGUCUAAAACCCAAUUUACUUUAAUAAUUUAUAAAUUUUUUAAAUUUUAAAAAUAAAAAAUAAAAAAAAUUCGGGUAAUUCGGGCAUUUUUCGGUAAUUCAGUUAAUUCGGUUAAUUCGGUUAAUUCGGGUAAUUCGGAUAAUUUUUAACCAAAAAUAAAAAAUACAUAAUUUUCAGUUAAUUCGGUUAACCAACCUUAUUAACCGAAAAAAUUUCGGUUCGGUUAAUUUGUUUUAAAAAAAAUCGGUUCGGUUAACGGUUAAAAUUUUUGGAAGGUCGGUUAAUUCGAUUAUAGUAAUUUCGGAUCGAUUAACCGGUCGGUUAACCAAAUGAACACCCCUAACCGCAACAACACUCAUGCACGUCAUAACACCUUGCUCUCAAAAUAAAAAUUCUGGGUUAGUAAUACAGUGCCUGUUGCGACAACAUCAACCUGUUGCAAGCAUUGGUCUCGAAAUAAUUUUUUUGCCAAGAAUGUAUUCAGAGUCACGACACCAUUCCUUUCGCAUCACAACACCUGAACGGUUUGGACAAAAUUAAUUAACACAUAAAUUACCCACCAACCUCCGCCUCCAUUAACACAUUUGACCACAGCCCAGUCAUUCAAAACUAGCCUUUCUCUCAGUUUAACUUAACUUAUUUUUCUACAAGCUUUCUCAAGGACUUCAUAAGGAGCAUCAAGAUUUUCCAGGUUUUCUUGGAUUUGUUGGGUAAGAAUGUCUUUAGUUUUUGGUUUUAUUGUGGUAGUUCUCUUUUUGUUUUUAUAGGUUUAGAGAACCAAAACCUUGAUUUUGUGAUUUUCAUUGUUGAAAUAUUAUGGGCUGGUCAAGACUUGGAAUGAAAAUCCUAGAAAUCUCGUCUGACUUUUAACAAUUUAAGGCUGAAGUGUGAUGAUUUUUACCGAUGGUCUAACCUUAAGUUUCUGCAACAUAAAAUACAGGUAACUGAUUUUCUUCUCCUCACCGGAUUUCUCACUACUAAUCAAGUGGCCAACGCACACAGGUGUUGGAAACUUUAAUGUUUUGUUUAGUUUCUGAAAAUAUUUCUUAUUUUUGUUUUCUAUUUUCAUUUUUAAAAGAUAAUUUUCAUUUUCUAUAUUUUGAAAGUUGAAGAACACAUUUGAUAAAUAAUAAUAAAAAUUUGUUCUCAAUAAUGAACAAAUAAAAACACAUUUGGUACCUAUUUUCCAAUAAUAGAAACAUAAGACAUAAAAUAAAAGCAUUCGAAUCAGGGUAAUAUAUUUGAUAUUUAAAAACUAUUAGCAAAAAAUAUUUUUACAUUUAUAUGAGUUUGAUCUAGGAUCAACUCAUUUAAAUUUAAAAAUUCUUGUUUUCAACAAUUUCAAUUUGACUUUUACAAAGCAUUUUUAGUAAAAGUAAUGAACACAACUUUUUAUUAUUUUCUAAUUUUCAACUACUUUUAUUUUUAUUUUUUAAUAAUCAUUUUUAAAAUUUUCAACAAAACAAGCUUUCUUUAAUAUUUUUCAUUUUCCAAGAAAACAAAAAUGAUCUCUAUUCCUUGUAACCAAAUGGAGCCUAAAGUUACCAAAAUAUUCUCAAAAACUAAGCAAAAACCAGAACUCAAAAAAAAAAAAAACUCUAUUUUUGUUGUGAUUCUAGUUCUGACCUCUUUGUCUUCUAUGUGUCCCAAGUACCAAGUAACCGAGACUCACCUACCUAUUUAUUGCAAAAUUCCUAGAAUCCUAAAUUAAGUUAACCUGGAAUUUUGAUUCUAGCUUAUUUAUCCCAACUUUUUAAUUCUAGCCUAAUCUAAAUAAAAUUCAAACCAAGCUACAUUAUCUAAAAAAAAAAUUCGUUCUUUUUAUAUGUUUUUUUCUUUUUUUUUAUGACUUCUAAAAAACUAAAUUAAAAAUAAGCUAAAAAUAAAUAAGCUCAAACUAAAACAGCGAAUGCAAAAGUCAUUUUGUUAGCCAAGGGGACAGCAGAAAGAGGCAAGGACAGAUACUCUCCUAUCUUCUAAGUUUAGACAACAAGCUAUUAUGUCUCCACAAAAUGUGCUACCUUUGGAGAACAUUAAACAAGAGAUUUCUUCCCAUGUUAGACUAUCUAUUGAGUUUGCAAACCAUGAUUUCUUGGAAAACUCAAUAUUUUCUCAAGAAGUCAGGAGAAUUACCAGACCGUAGACAAGUAUAAGCUUCAGCAAUCUGCAAAAAAUGCACAUCUUUAGGUUUUAUUUGUCACAACCGUAAAUGCAGUUGGAACUAUUUUUAAACUGCAGAAUACAGGAUUAAAGAUAUCCACACAAUUAUCGCAUUCAGUGCUCCCAGAUGAAAGAAAUAUUUCAUAUUCAGAUACAAUAAAUGAAAUAAACUAAUUGGAAAAACUUAAUAUUAAUACUGCAUCGGUUACUCGUUUUCCAGUAUGUUGGCUCUUGUCAAGAAUGGCAACCUCCAGAAAACGUACCAUAAUUUAGAAAGUAUAUGGCUCAAAAGGCCAGUCUAGAAUGAUAAGUUUCUGUGAAGGUUAGGUAAAUUAUUCCAAAUAAAAACUACCGUUUGUUAAGACUAAACCUAGUCUUUACCAGGUAAAUUUCAGUUUAUCUCCCAAAUCCAAGGUUAGACUUAACAUGUUCAGCAGUUAGAAAUCCAAAAAACUCGUGAAAGAAUAUAAACGUACUGCCAGAUCUGAUUACUCACCAGAACAUACUAUUCUAAAUCGCUGCUUGCACCAUGAACUUAACCAAAACAUGAUACAAACCCCCAAGCAAUCUAGCUCCCUCCAAAGAAUUCAAAUAGCAAAAAGAAUCAAGAAAGACUCCCCAAGUAUAUUUUAGAUAGAGUGGAAUUACUAACAGUCACAAAACUGCUCUAAGCUAAUAUCUCUCAAACCUAACAUUGUAAAAAUGCUUAGCUUGUUCAAAUCAACCUCUAAAAUGCUUAAGCUUGUCUCAACAAGCUUCAACAGUUCCUUUUCAGAUCCCUAAUGAUCGCAUCACUAGUAAGCCAGUACCCAUAUAACAACAAUUCAAACCUGGCCCCGACGAAGAUGUGCAUUCCAAUCAAAGAAUAUAUUAGAAAACGGGUGAAAGUUUUAAAGGCACAUCGAUGCUUACCAACUUAAACUUAGACUCCGCCGAAUGCUUUUCGUGAACUGGAAACAAGUCAGGAUGCGAUUCCCAUACUUUCUUUCUAUAAGCUGCUUUAAUCUAAAAUUCCAAAUAAAAAACCAUAAAAGAAAUUAAUAAAAUAUACAACUUCAUAAACAAAGAAGAAAAAAUCGAGAAAUUUUGUUAGUCUAACUGAUUUGAAGAAAGCAAUCAAGGCCACAAUCUCCAAAAGGAAAACAACUCGAUUUAUCAAUUUCAAUCCAAGUCAACAACCAAAAACAAUGAGAUUUAAAAAACCCCUAAAACAAUCAAAGUUAAGAGCAAAAUAAAAUAAAAUAAAAAUGAAAAACUGAAUGAAAUUUGAAAAAGAAAGAAAAAACCUGAGAAGGAGAAGGGCGAGAAUUAGGGGGGAAGCCUAGCAGGAGUCUCGCUUCAUCACCUUGCAUUUCUGUGAUUUAAUUGGGCUGAGCUUUUCUUUGCUGGGCACUUAAUUUUUUAAUUAAGUGAAGCGUGGGCUUAAUGCUAGUGCGUGUCAACAGGAAACUAAUAGAGCGUGGCAAAGCGAAAUCUACACGAGCGCGGCAUUCGUAAGUGUUUUAUUUAAACAAACUUUUUAUCCCGUCCCAUGCAAGAUUAUUUAUAUGUUUUAAAAAAUUGUUAAAUAUAUUUUAAAAAAAUACAUCUUAAAAUUAUUUGUCAAAUUAUUAACUAUUAUUUUAUCUAUAAUGAAAAAUAAUAUAGAUAUUAUUUAUAUUAUAAAUGUAUAUCAAAUAAUAAAAAGAAAUCAAUUAAAAAAGUAUUAUGCAAAUAAAUAAAUUUGUAAGUUUUAAUAAAAGAAAGUAAAAGGCUAAAUUACGUAAAAAUAUCGAUUUAAAAAAAAUAAUUGAGUGAUUAGACCGAUUUCUGGUAUACUUAUCGGAAUAGGUCAAUUUUAGAGAGAGUGUGAGUGAAAACGCGUCCAGUUGGGCGUGCUUUCCUGCACAAUCAGCAGAAAACGCGUCUAGCUGGACAUUUUUUCACCUAACGGUAACCUCCACCAACAGCCAUAAAAAACAACUAGUUUUAUUUCUAUAUAAACUCGGAUCCUUUCCUCAUCUUUUCAUUCAAAUCCAAUUAUCUCAAUUCUCUUAAGAAUUUAGUUUUAGAAUUUUAAUUAAAAUUCUCUCAAGUUCGUCUUGAUUUAAUUUCGUUUUUCGAUUUUUAUUCAUUUUAAUUCAAUUUUGGAAUGGCAAAUACUCUUAUUCGUUUCGAUGACAACCACGUUUCCGCAUUUUAAUUGCAAAUGGGAAGACAAUAUUUCUAAUAUUUCUAAUUUUAAGUUUAUUAUUAAGUUGCUAAAAAGAUUAAAAUUUAUUUGUUCUUUUUGUUUUUUUAUAAUUAAGUUGAAGAUCGAAUUUUGGAGACAUAUAUACACAAUCUAUCUUUGAGGCCAUCACGUAUGAUUGUCAGAAGAUGCGGGAUUUUUGCACGUGUCCCGUAUGCUCGGGGGUGUAAAUUGGACCCCAUACUUAUCAAUGUGUUGGUGGAAGGAUAGGGACCCGAGACACGCACAUGUCAUCUUCCAUGCGGUGAGUGUACAAUCACACUCGAGGACGUUCAAUUACAACUCAGUUUAUCGGUAGAUGGGCCAGUCGUUACGAGAUCAGUUGUCGUUGGCGAUUGGAGCAGCAUUUGCUAGCAACUAUUAGGCAAGGUGCCGAACAAGUUUUUUAGUAGCUGGAUAAAGAUGAAAUGGUUGCAAGAAGAUUUCCAAAAUCUCCACGAGAGUUCAAGUCCCCUUGAAAGAGAACAAUACGCCUUAGCACACAUCCUGAGGUUAAUUGGAGUUGUUCUAAUGCCCGGUAGAUCUCAAACUGUAACAUCCUCAAAACCCCCUUGGUCGUAAAUAAUAUAAGAUAAAUUUUUAGUGAAAUAAGGUAUAAGAUCAAAGAAAAUGAAAGUUGGAAGAUAUCAAAAGAGAGUUAAAUCAAGAAUCAUGACAUAAUGUAUAAUUGAUUUCUCGAUAAAAUGAGAAAAUGAUAUGAAGAUGAUAAAAGAGAAAAUUGAAGAGUAUUAAAAAAUAAUAAUAAUUAAGAAGUAGGUUUUAGUAUAUUGAUUUAAAGUAAGGACUACAUUGUAAAUAUGUGAAAAGUUUUUGGCUCAAGUGUAAAUAUUCAAAAUUUAGGGGAUCAAAGUGUAAAAAAAUAAGAAAGUUGAAGGAUCAAAAGUGAAAAUAAUUCAAUUUACUAUGAUAUGGAAUUGACAUGUAGGGACCAAAUUGAAUAGGUGAAGAAUUAUGAGGGACUAAAUUGUAAUUUUACCAAAUUAAGUGAUGAUUCAAGGAUGAAAUUUUAAAAGAUCAUAAAGGGAAAAAUGGUCAAUUAGAAAAAGAGAGAACUCUAGAAGGGAAUGAUGAUGUUGGAGAUAUUUUGAUGAUAUUUUAUAAUUAUUUAAUUAGAUAAAUAGUAAUUUAUUAAUAUUUUAAUGAGAUAUUUUAAUAAUAUUUUAUUUAAAAUAGCUAGUAUAAAAGGAGAGAAAGAUGAAAAAAAAGAAAGAAAGGAAGAGGAUCCUCCAUCUUUCCAACGUGAGUGAGGGGGAGAGAAGAAGAAAACUUUGUUGUCUUUAUAAUUUGGUCCUUCCACAAAAAAUCCACCAUUUUCACCUAUAAUUUCAAGGAAUUUUCAUAAUCACCAAGAGAGAAAAGUGAUAAGGAGAUUAUGAAGAACAAGAAAAUCACCUUGGAUUCAAGAAAAUAGAAGUUGGAGGAGAGAGAAAAUCAAGUUAAAGUUUGAAAUCAGUAGGACAAGGUAAGAACAUCAAUAUUUCAAUAUAUUUUUAAGUUUGAUAUUAUUAAAAAAAAGCAUAAAAUUAAUGUUAAAGUAGAGUUUUCUUAUAUAAGGUUUUAUGUUCUUAAUAUGUUAGUGAAGAGAAAUAAGAGGAAAUGAUGUGAAAUAUUGUAGAGAAAGGAAAGGAGGGUGUUAUAAACUUGGUUAUUAACAUUUUGCACUAAAACAGUUUUGGACAACAGUAGUAGUCUAACUUUAAAAAUUUACCAAAAAUUGUAGAAAUUGAAUUAGAGGUUAAUUAAAGUAUGAAAUUAAAUCAUAUUGAGUCUAGUUUUACAUAGAAAAAAAAUGGUGUAAGCAAAAUAAUUUCAUAUUAUGAGAUAUAUGAAUUUUUGUGAGACAAGGUCAGAUUGAUUUUGGGUUCUCCUGUUCUAACUUUGAAAAAUCAUCAAAAAUUGUAAAAAAAGAUUAGGGGUUUAAAUUUAUAUUUUUAAAUUUUUAAUGAGUCUAUUUUCAAGAGAAACAAAUUGAAACAUCAUCCAAACCCUGUACUAAGAGAUAAUUAAUUUUUAGUAAAGAGAAAGUCGAAGCUGUCAAACAGCAGAAUAAGGACAAAUUUGAAGAAUUUACAAUACUUAUUGGCUAAGUCAUAAAUUUUAAAAUUUUUAUGGUAAAAAGAUAUUUGAGUCUAGUUUCAAAAAAAUCAAGCGGAUCUUAAUUUAGAAUUCUUUAGCUCAAGAUAUAAAUAAUUUAGUGACUAUGACUCAAGUGGACAACUUUGAUAUGAACACAUAAGUAAAUAGUGGAAUUAUAGAUAAUGUUUCAUAUAAGCAUGUUAUAUACUAAAAGCUAAAGAUUCUAACAAAUAUAUACAUAAAGGAUGUGGAAUGGAAAGGAGGAGGAGGAAAACAAUAUAUGAAUAUAUAUAUAUAGUAGAUGAAUUUGAAAUAUUUCAAAAUGGUUGUAGGUGAUGGAAUGAUUGAUACAUAUAAGUAUGUUUAAACAAAUUGAUAACAUAAUAAGUGAAUAAUUGUUAAUUGAUGUGAAUUCUUUGUUAAAAUUUUAUGAAGAAUUAAAUUGAUUGGCACAAUUUAGAAAUAAAUAUGAAAUAUACAUAAAAUAGGUAAACUAAUUUUGCAAGUGCAAGUCCUUCAAUGGUCUUAUUUAUAAAAUUUUAAUAUUUGUGUUAAUUUUAUAAACUUUGUUAUCUUUAAUUGAAUAUCAUGUUUUAAUGAGCUCCUUUAACUCAUAAUUAGUUCUAUUGUAAAUUCAAUUAUUACUAAAAUGAGUUAAUGAUCUACAUUAAUUAAAUAAUAUGAUAAAUUGAUCUGAAAUUUCCAAUAGUUGCUUCUACAACGAAUGUGACAUCUUGAUGCCUUAACUCGACGAUCAGGUUGAGCAUGGGGGUGUUGCACAAACUUGUACACUUAAGGUGGUUGCUACAACUUAUCGACUUGAAAGAAGCAAGUCGACUUAGUUAGGGUUAGCCAUGUUGGUGAUGUAUCGAAAGAUGUAUCGGGUGACGCGACCAUGAAAAAUUAAAAUUGGUGGUUGCGUACUCCUUCUGCAAUCAUGGGCAUGGUCCCGGCUACCAUUUUUAUGUUCCUAACCCAACUACCCUUAUACUUUCUCACUCGUAACAAGGUAAAAUCAAUUCUAUCAUAUAGUCAUCAUAAUAUUAUUUAAUUAGGCUGAUUUUUGAAAAAAAAAACAUUAUUUGAAUAGAUGGAACCAUAGCUCGAGUUAUGUGGGACUACUGGUGUAAUACUCGGAUAUCUUUAUUGACUCGAAAUUUAAGGAAAGUUAGGACUAAAUUGAAAGAAUUAGCAAAUUGUCUGACUUCACCGGGGAAUUCAAAAAUUUUAGUGGCCAAAUUUCAAUCAGUUGGAUUUCAAACCUAGUUCGAUUAGGAUGGAACUGACUAGUUCCAAAGUAGGAGACAAAACAAUUAAGGAUGAAUAGUAGAGAUGGCCGAUGAAAAUCGUGUUAAAGGUGUAUAUAUAUAGGAGUGUGUGGAGAUAGAAUUUUCUCAAUUCUGUUUACCAAAACGCUCGUCUCUCCUUCCGACCAGUCAGAGUAUGGGCUAAAAUGGCGUGAAUGUAACGCAGAGCUAGGGGUAGGCAGCGAGCCUUGGACUGGUUUGGGUUGUAUGAAGUGGCAAACUCAGAAAUGUCAGACCAAUAGAGAGGGGUUGGUCGAUGGAUGUGCCGUAGGAGGGUGGAGAACUCGAGCGUAGCCAAGAAGUCAUCAGAAUAUAUGCCGAGAGCGACUCUUAAUCCCGCAAUUCUCAAAUACCGAGUGACGCUCCCAAGACGAAAUGAGAUUUCUCGAGGUCCAUCCCCAGACAAUAGCACGGUCUGUAGGAAAAAUGUAGAGCAAAACUCUAAAGUAAGCUCAACAUACAUCAGCUCCACGAUCGCAAAAAACCGUUCCCACAAUGUCGUGUCCAAUAAAGUAUGAACCUAUGAUGAUAGACCCAUUGUUUGAAGGGUUGUUGAGUCAAUACACCGAUCCAAACCCAAUGAUCUGUCUUUCAGAUAUUGGUACUUCUCUUCAUGAGGUGGAUGAUUGAAUGUGAAUUAUCUGUGUCGAGUGGUUGUAGUUUGAGAGGACAAAGAUGAGGUCCCAGUAACAUUUUUUUUCUUGGACUGAACGAGUAUUUUACUCUUGUCUCGUGUGUUCGACAUUAUGUACCUGAAAGACAGAUGACAACUAGAUAUAUGAGCACCAAUACAAAUUAAUAUAACAAAUGAACAUUGCAAAAUAUGAAACACAAUAGAUCAAGUUCAAUUUACCGCAUAAUGAAAACUGACUCACUAACUAAGAUUUAAAUAAUUCAAAAAAAAAAUAACAAAACAAAAUCUAAUACUAUUGUAAUAACCAACUUAGCAGAAUAAAAAUAGAAAUAACAAUAUGAAUAAUAAUAUAAUAAAACAAAUAUCAUAAUAAAAAAAUAUGAUAAUAAAAAUAAAUAAAACAAAAAAGAAAAUGAUGAGGACAAAUAGCAGUAGGGGUAUACGAAAAUGGUGGCCGGGGAAGUAGAGAGGAUGUGGAUGGUUAUGGGUGAAGAUGGGUGGUUGGGCCGACGAAGAGAAGAUAAAGGAAAUUGAGGGAAAAAGAAUAGUGAUGAGCGUGGAGAGAUGGCGAGGGGAAAGUGUUGGUUUGUGAAUGAAGGAGAGAUAGAGUGAGGACGACGGCGGCGUGUGUGUAUGUGAUGGAGGAGAUGGUAGUUGGCAAAGAGGGGCGGUGGUGUGACAAGGCUUUCAACGUUUGAAAGAAGAUGAUAAGAGGUGUCCGGCGUCGUGGGGAGUAGAUGGCCUAGAAUGAGAAAACGAUUGUAGGGUUUAGGGUAGAAAGGAACAAAAAAUAAAAUAAAAUCCUUAGCUUUAAAGAGGAUACACGGCCAUGUGCCAGGCCAAAUGGGUUAUACAGCCGUGUGGUCAGGCCAUUUAUCCCUCUGUGACUGUGUGUCCCAUAAAAAAUUUUCAAGCUUUAAUCCAAUUUUCACACGGCCUAUGACACGAUUGUAGGGUUUGCUGCUCUACUUUACAGAGCCAGGCGCAUAAAAAAUGUGAAGAGCCUGUGUCGAAUCUGAACCCGUAAAAACAACAGAGACUAUAGAACUGAACCGUGCCCUCUUCUUCCCACCUACAAUAGUCAUGGGAUGAUCCUUAAGAGACUUGGAAAAGUCAACCAUGACGGUAGAUCUAUCAUCCACGUUGGAGCUAUCAUUUAGAUCCCCGUAUGGCUAUUCCCAUCCAAAUUGAAGCUCAAAUUAGUACUGACUAAUUGCACAAAAGUCGAAGUAGACGGUUGUGACAUAGUAGCAUUGGUUGGACUCGACAAUCCCCCAGAUCACGGUACCCGCUCCACAGGCACAUUACGAAGCCAAACACUACACUGCGCCUAAAGUCGGUGUGGCAUUGCCCUUAAGGACAUGUCCCAUCCCAUUGAAACCUUUUUCGUGGCAAGGGUCAACUGAAUGGGGCAAAAGUUCUCACCAAGACCUAGUUUUCCACAGAGGAAGCAAAAAAAGUCAGUUAUUUGUACUGAAAAUAGGCAUAGAAAAAGUGGUGGGGAGACAAAGCAAGACGCUUCUUUUGCUCCAACGGAAUCCGGACAUCCACAAAAACCCGUAUUCGUAAGCACUGCUGCAAACCAAAACCAAGAGCAGUGGAAUAGUAGUCCAGAAAUAUUCCAAGAAAAUUCCCAAUUUGCCUGGCCAAAUGGUCAUUCUAGAACCCAAAAGGAAGGUCGUGAACUUGAACCCAAAAAUCAACAUAACACAGCAAGACUUGAAGAAGGUCCUCCCUCGUCACCAAUCGAUGAAACACCAGUAAGUGGUUGUUAAAGGUCUAAGGGUUGCCCUGAAUAACCCUUCUGCAUAAAACCAAAAGAGGAAACACUUCUCCCCCAAAUUAGAAAUAGAAAUACCCCCAAUUGGGUGCCACAAAUUCACCAUGGUGGAUCGUAUUUCCUUAAAACAGACAACACUAGCCAUUAGAAACAACCCAUCAAAUUGAAAUCAAACUCGGCCUCAUGUUUCGAAGCACCAGGAGGAACCGACCACACGUCAUUCUCAUCAUUAUGAAGAGUGAGACCCGCAAUCUAAUCUUCCAUAAACAAAUUAAUGAGCCAAGAAUAGAAACAAACCGCAGCAAAACCACAAAAAACACAGACUUCAAAUAGAGAAACCCAACAACACGUGCCAAGAGGCAGAUAGAAAAAACUAAAAACCUCUUGUUCUUAUAACAUUAUAAAAGUAACGAGGAAUAAAGUCAUAAAAUAAAAGAAUGAAGUUUUAAUGAAAUACAAUAAUAUGAAAAAAGAAAUUAAGGAUUAUGUUAGAAAAUAAAAAAGAUGGAGCAACUUUAAUUAAAAGUCUAAAGCACUGAGGGGUUUAUAUUGCAAUAUCCCCCUCCUCAUUCGUUUUGAAAAGAAAAUAGGCAAAUUUUCUUCUUUUUCUUUUCAUAUUCAUUUAGACAGGUUCCUCUUCCAAAUUUUAUUUAUUUAUUUUUUCAUUUAUAGGUCCCUUUCAUAUGCUUCCUUCUUCUUUAUUGAUAUAUUUUUCUCUUUUUUUAUUUUAAUUAUAUUUUUCAUUUUUUCUUUCAUUUUAUUUUUCCAAUUUGGUGUUCUAAUCAAUUUUUAACCCAACCAAACUUCGACCUAGAAAUUAAAUUGUAUCAUUUCAGAUUUUAGUGCCCGAAAAUUAAAAAGUCAUUAGAGAAAAUUCUUAAAUUUAUUUCUUUUGCCUGAUCUAGUUUUACUUUAUUAUAUAUUUUUUAAAUAUGAGGUUUUGGGUUUGUGUAUCUUUUAUUUUAUUUUUAGGGUAAUGUAAACCAACAACCACUCAAUUUUGAUUAAAAUAACAAAACAUUCACUAACGUUGUCGAAAAGUGAUAAAUCAAUUAUCCACUAACAUUUUCUGUUAUAGGCCUAACGGGACAAGUCACAUGACCCGUUAACUAGCAUGUUAGACAUGACUAGCUAGAAGAAGAAGAGAAAAAGAAGAAAGGAAGAUCACAAUGGGUAUCUUAGAACUCAUUCUAUUAACCUCUACAAAUCGGUCAUGUUCACUUCCCGCUUCAAUCGUCUCAUCCCUGUUAACUUCGCUUCCCGCUUCAACCUCUUUCAACUCCUUUUUUUUUUCAAAAAACUUCAAAAACUUUGAAUUUGUUCUUCUCUUAACCACACCAUCAUCAACCUCUCCCAACACUAAUCACCACCACUAUCUAGUUAACCAACCGCCAUACAUCACCACCACUGUCAAAUCCAAACCCCCUCACAACCACUCAAUUUACCAUUGCCACCAUAAACACAUCCUCACCACACCCUUAGCAACCAAAAAAUUCACCCCAACAACAACACAAAAAAUACAAAAUGAAAAAAAAACUCCAGAGGAAAACCAAGUGGAAGCCUGCAACGGAGAAAAAUGAAACAAAAUCAAAGAAAGAAGAAACAAAAUAUAAAUAAAUAAAAGAAAUAAGAGGAACAUUAAGGUUAGUUUUAAGGUCUUGGGUCGUCAUAUCAAAAAUCUAAAUGGUAGGAAUGUAGAAGAGAUCGCAAAAAACAACAUACCUUGGAAUCAGACUAAUUCGAUGGUUGGAUUUCGAGAUCGGGCAAGGAGAAGUUCAAACGUUCAAGCAUAGAUUCGAGUAGUUUGGGGAAAUUUUUGGAGAAUCAGACUCUGGAUUCAUGUUCAAAGUGUCAAAAAGAGACUAGAUAAGAGUUUGGAGUUUUCCGACCACCACUGGCAAGCCGGCGCGACAGUCCGACGUCGAUUUUUGGGUUUUUUUUAUUGUUGUGUCUGGGUUGCUUCAGAAUGGAAAAAAAAUUGAAGGUACAAAGAAGGGAGAAGAGAACAUUAAAGAAAAAAAAGAAGAAGUUUUGUUUGUAUUUGUUUAGAAAAUUAAUAAUAACAACUAAAAAAAAAGAAAAUUUUGAUGGUGGGAUCAUGUCCAACUUGGCAGCCUAACGGACCACGUCAGCUGUCUGUUACGUUUUCGUGUGACUAAUUUGUCACUUUCAUAAAAUUUAGUGACUAAACUGUAACUUAUCAAAGUUUAAUGAAUGAUUUAUUUCGCGUAAUAUAUAUUUAUAUGAUUGGAUAAGAAAGGGCCAAAAGUCUUUCCUAUUUUAGUUAAGUUCUUUAUUUCUCUCAGCAAAACAGGACUUGAUAGUGUACCGAAUUCAUUCGCCAUGAAUAACCUCGAUCAUUGUUUGCAGGACGGUCUCAAUGUUGAUGGCCAUAAUGGUUGAUUUUGGCAACGGGUUUUCCAAGCUUGGAGAUUCCCUGGUUUCAAUUAGGCUUAGGAAUAUUUGUCGCGGGAGACUUACAAUUUUCAUUUUAAUCUUUCCUGGAAGGAUUGAAAAACAACAAUCUUCCAACAAACCUCAGAAACUGAAUCAAUACUACUCAG
rnacentral:lncRNA from 1 species